AAUAAAGGGCGACCAGUGGUUGCUGGCAUUCCAGGGGGCAGUUCAUCACACAUACUAUGCACCACAAGUGAUGGUGAAAAAAGGGUGAAAUAUACUGAUGGACGGAUUGUAUUAUUGGACUCUCCAGAAAGAACACAGUCUGUCACAAAAGUGAUGAAGAUGAUGAUGACGAUGAAGAGACCACAUCUGCUGUGACAGAAGUGGACAAUGCUGGUAGAUCCACUGAGUACAUACCUAGGGAUUUGCCCACAGAUGAGCCUUCAGCCUCAGCACACAAUCUAAGCAGGUUGCCAGCAAAGGAGCUGUAUAAGGUCCAUCUUCAAAAACAAAUAAGAAAAAGUGACAUGGUGAUGGACCUUAUACAGCUUCAAAUGGAAGAGAAAAGGCUCCUCAUUAAAAAAGCAGCACUUGAAAUAGAAUUACUUGAGAAUCGCCUUAAGGUGAGAACUU